UACGUAGGGUGCAAGCGUUAAUCGGAAUUACUGGGCGUAAAGCGUGCGCAGGCGGUUUUGCAAGUCUGAUGUGAAAUCCCCGGGCUCAACCUGGGAAUUGCAUUGGAGACUGCAAGGCUAGAAUCUGGCAGAGGGGGGUAGAAUUCCACGUGUAGCAGUGAAAUGCGUAGAGAUGUGGAGGAACACCGAUGGCGAAGGCAGCUCCCUGGGUCAAGAUUGACGCUCAUGCACGAAAGCGUGGGGAGCAAACAGG
rnacentral:rRNA from 1 species